rnacentral:rRNA from 1 species
GUCUUUUUGAUUAUAAUUUAAAGUCUGACCUGCCCAAUGAGGAGUUUAAUGGCCGCGGUAUUUUGACCGUGCAAAGGUAGCAUAAUCAUUAGUUUUUUAAUUGAAAGCUGGUAUGAAUGGUUGGACGAGAGAAUAGCUGUCUCAAUUUAAAUUUAGUUAGAAUUUUAUUUUUAAGUAAAAAAGCUUAAAUGUUCUUAAAAGACGAGAAGACCCUAUAGAGUUUUAUAUAUUGAUAUAUAUAUAAAAAUUAGUAUUAUAAAUAUAUAUAUAUAUAGGUAUAUUUUGUUGGGGUGACAGAAAAAUUUAAAGAACUUUUUUUAUAUUAUAACAUUAAUUUAUGAUUUGAUGAUCCGUAGUUUACGAUUAUAAGAUUAAAUUACCUUAGGGAUAACAGCGUAAUUUUUUUUAAGAGUUCUAAUCGAAAAAAGAGCCCGCGACCUCGAUGUUGGAUUAAAAUUAAUUUCUGGUGUAGGUGCUAGAAAAUUAGGUCUGUUCGACCUUUGAAAUUUUACAUGAUCUGAGU